rfam:Xenopus tropicalis strain Nigerian Chr07_contig_2678, whole genome shotgun sequence.
CUCUCUGUGGCGCAAUUGGUUAGUGUGUUUGGCUGUUAACUGAAAGGUUGGAGGUUUGAGCCCACCCAGGGAUG